GACGAACGCUGGCGGCGUGCUUAACACAUGCAAGUCGAACGGUGAAGCGCCUUCCUUUUUGGUGGGUGUGGAGGAGUGGCGAACGGGUGAGUAACACGUGAGUAACCUGCCCCCUGCUUCAGGAUAACCGCAUGAAAGUGUGGCUAAUACGGGAUAUCCUGGGUCUGGCGCAUGAUGGGUCUGGGAAGGAUAUUGGUUCGGUGGGGGAGGGGCUCGCGGCCUGUCAGCGGGUGGGGGGGGUGAAGGCCUACCAAGGCGGUGACGGGUAGCCGGCCUGGGAGGGUGGACGGUCUCAGAGGGUGUGCGGCCCGGUCCGGACUGCGACGGGAGGCAGCAGUCGGCAAUAGGGCGCAGUGGGCGCUAGUCUGAUGCAGGCGGGCCGCGUGAGGGAUGGAGGCCUUCGGGUUAUGACGCUCUUUCGGCAGUGAAGCGGUCCUGCCUCGUUUGUGGGUGGAUUGACGGUAGCUGGUAAAGAAGCGCCGGCUAACUACGUG
rnacentral:rRNA from 1 species